CCUACGGGAGACAGCAGUAGGGAAUAUUGCUCAAUGGGGGAAACCCUGAAGCAGCAACGCCGCGUGGAGGAUGAAGGUUUUCGGAUUGUAAACUCCUUUUGUUAGAGAAGAUAAUGACGGUAUCUAACGAAUAAGCACCGGCUAACUCCGUGCCAGCAGCCGCGGUUAUACGGAGGGUGCAAGCGUUACUCGGAAUCACUGGGCGACAAGGGGGCGUAGGCGGGAUAGCAAGUCAGAUGUGAAAUUCUAGGGCUUAACCAUAGAACUGCAUUUGAAACUGGUAUUCUAGAGUAUGGGAGAGGUAGGUGGAAUUCUUGGUGUAGGGGUGAAAUCCGUAGAGAUCAAGAAGAAUACUGAUUGCGAAGGCGACCUGCUAGAACAUAACUGACGCUGAUGCGCGAAAGCGUGGGGAGCAAACAGGAUUAGAUACCCCUGUAGUC
rnacentral:rRNA from 1 species